rnacentral:rRNA from 1 species
ACGCCCUACGGGAGGCAGCAGUGGGGAAUAUUGCACAAUGGGGGAAACCCUGAUGCAGCGACGCCGCGUGAGUGAGGAAGUAUUUCGGUAUGUAAAGCUCUAUCAGCAGGGAAGAAAAUGACGGUACCUGACUAAGAAGCCCCGGCUAACUACGUGCCAGCAGCCGCGGUAAUACGUAGGGGGCAAGCGUUAUCCGGAAUUACUGGGUGUAAAGGGAGCGUAGACGGCUGUGCAAGUCUGGAGUGAAAGGCGGGGGCCCAACCCCCGGACUGCUCUGGAAACUGUAUGGCUGG